GAAAAUUAAUUUCUCUUAUUUAUUCCUCCCAGUCUGUGGUAUUUUGUUUUAUUAUUAUCCUAAUAAUGCAGGAUUGUAAAAGCCAACUGUGUGAGGACUUUCAUUUGAGAAUGUUCAAGAGAUUUCAAGGAAUAAACAUUAAAAGGAUUUUUCCAUAAACUUGGAAUGGAACCACCAUUUGACCCAGCUAUCCCACUCCCCGGUCUAUACUCAAAGGACUUAAAAUCAGCACACUAUAGGGACACAGCCACAUCAAUGUUUAUAGCAGCUCUUUUCACAAUAGCUAAACUGUGGAAGCAACCUAGAUGCCCUUCAAUAGAUGAAUGGAGGGCUGAGCGGUGGCUCAGUGGCAGAGCGCUUGCCUAGCAUGUGUGAGGCCCUGGGUUCGAUUCUCAGAAUCACAUUUAAAAAAAAAAAUCCAUCGACAACUAAAAAAAAAUUUUUAAGAAAUAGAUGAAUGGAUAAAGAAACUGUAGUAUAUAUACACAAUGGAACAUUACUUCGAAUUAAAAGAGAAUAAAAAAGCCAAUCCCCUAAAAAACAAAGGCCAAAUGUUCUCUCCAAUAAGUGGAUGCUGAUACAUAAUGGAGGGGGGGAGUGCAUGGGAAAAAAUGGAGGAACUUUGAUUGGGCAAAGGGUGGAAGGGAGUAAGUAUGGGGGCAGGAAAGAUGGUGGAAUGAGAUGGACAUUAUUACCCUGGUACAUGUGUGACUCAUAUAUGGUGCGACGCUACAUCAUGUACAAUC
rnacentral:lncRNA from 1 species